rnacentral:lncRNA from 1 species
UUGUUUUCACAUGCAAAGAGAGCGACUCCUCAAAUACAUGAGAAGAUUCAGGAAAUUAAAAUACAAACCAUGGCAUGUCAUCUAUCAAAAUAUAACUUCUCUGAGGAAAUGUCGAGGAUGAUCCACUUGUAACACUAUGAGCAUGUGUUAAAAGUGUACAUGCUCCCAUUGAUUGCCCCUAGUUGCAUGCAAAAGCAAAAAUUUGUUACCCAUCCCCACACUUGUAAAACCAUGCUCAUAUCUCAAUGACAUAGUCAUAUGUCUAGAUGAAUAAUACAACAAUGUUUUUAUUUCUUCAUGCAGUGCAAGUGCUGCAUUCAUAUGAUAUGGUGAUUGUUUAUUAUGACAUUAGUGUCCCUGAGAAUAUAUAGAAAAAUACCAGCAUGUCAAACAAGUUGUGCAAGCUUGUGAUGCAUCCACUGUAAACAUAUAAAUAAUAAUGCAUAUAUCCCAUCUUAUUGCUAAACAAGCUAAGUUGGGAUCAUCAACCUUCUCAGGCGGGAGAUCUAUUCCUAGAUUGCCCCGUGAAAGAAUAAUGCCAUCUGCUUCUAGUAGAAUCUCGUCAAAAUGGGUUAGGCCCUGAAAGAAAAUGAGUACAAGAACAUUACCAAAUUGAGAUGUAAAAAGAAAAAAAAAGAAAGAAAACAAAAGGAUUACUUGAGAUAAAUAUCUUUCAACCCACCUCUAUGUUUUCAAUUUUCGCAAAUAUCUGGGUUUGAUUAAGAUCACCCAACUUUGAGAGGAACUCUCGUGCCUGGACCCCAAAUAACAGAAUCCCCAUUGUGGAAUAAAAUAUUGGAAAAGGAAGCAAGUGAAAAUUAGAACAUCAAGAAUAGAACAAAUACAAAUUGGAAUCGAAAGUCGACUACAAUUCAAUCAGAGAUUCGGAGGUAAAGAUAAAAGGCAACCAAUACAAGAUGGUCUUACAUGUCGAACAUCUUCCGCAUGCCUUGUAUAAGAUAAUGAGAGGAAGUCAAUUUUAUUUCGAACACCCCAUGUACUAAUAACCUGAAAUGAUUGACAACACAAAAAGAAUUGAAUGCUUCUGAAAAUGAAAAUAUUGAGAACAUAAUAAGAUUUAUCUACAUGUGAAAAGAGUAGAAAUUGCCGCAAAGUGUACAUAACUUCUCAAACCAUUCUUUUUGUUUAGUGGAGUUCAGUUAGCAUAUUUGGCUUAGGAUGACAUAUAUCAUAGGAUAUAGUUAUUUGAUAUUUUGGAUAACAUAAAGUCAAUCAAGAAUUAAAGAUUCAAAAAAAAGAACAUUCAAUUAAACCCUUGGAAAUAAACCAAAAAUAACAAUAUAUAGACAUGCAGAGAAAUCUUAAAGAAUGGACUAUGUUCUGAUGCAAGUCAAACUGCUCUACUUUCAUUCCCUUCCCUUCUUUUUCCAAAGCUGAAAUAUCAAAGCCAUCCUUCUUCCUAUAGGACGGUCUCCAUGAUGUAUGUUUUCCAUGGUUACUCUAUAGUGACAUGUUUGAAUUAUAUAUGGUAGACAGAAUUAAAUGAUAAGCCAGUUCAUUGUUCAUAAUUAGGAAAGCAUCAUAUAUAUAUGAUCCCGUGCACGCAGCUGCUCAAAAAAACUAGCUACUCAAAGAAUCGCAUAAAAAUGAGGAUUUAAGUAGAUAUGCAAGGCCACAGAACAUGUCAUUACACUGGAAGGUAUACAUAUAAUGUAAAAACAAUAUCACUUACUUCCUUGUCAGCAUCAGAAAGUGUAGGCAAAUCAAUGUGGAUUUGUGAGAUAUGCAAAGUGAAUAGAGAUCCAGCCAGGGUAGCAGUAUUCUUUAUCACACAAACAACAUCAUCGCCUUUCAACUCAGCUACCUGCACCACAAAGCCCCAAGGCUUGCUUCAGAAUGCAUACAAAUACAAAAACAUUAUCAAUAAGGUUACACACAAUUGCCCUUGCUCAGGAUUUUAGGUUACUUUUUUUCCUACAUUAUCUAUCAACUUCAGCUCAUGCACUGAGUCAGCAAAUGAAAUUGAUUCUACUCAAGCUGCUGGUGAAGGUGGCAAUAUUAGCAAGCCAUAUUUGUCCAUGUGCAAAAUCAACCAAGUGGAGGAAUGUAUGUAAGUCAUCUAAGCACAAAGUUAAAAAAUCUGAUCAGCUAUGUCUACCAAAGUCAUACCUCCAACCAAACAGAAGUAGUUUCACUUCCCGUAAACAAGUAUUGACCGAUAAAUAUUGUGUCUCCUGGCUUCACAGCCUGCAAUUAAAAGAUUAAAACCAGUAAAUAUAAAGAGAAAAUUAAAACUGAAGUUAUAUUGUCUGGUAGCUUCAACACAGACAUUUUAAGUUGAAUUUCAAGUGAAUGCAGCAAUCUAAAUGAUUGUUUUGCUAUGUUAGAUUUGAAAAUCACAAGUGAUAGAACAUAAAAAAAAAAUAAAAAAGUGUGUGCAGGCAAAUGGGGUCAAUGGCUCAUGGAGUAGCAUGUCUACCACAUGCCAGUGAGGCAGGCUUGAGAAAGUGUCAACAGCUAUAUACCGGUACAAACAUACAGUAACAACGAAGAUGCAAGUGCCCAUAUCUGCAUGCCACAAUGUGGUGCAAAUUACAAGAAAUGAAGUUAAUACUCUGAAGAUAUUAAACGAAAUUAUAGACAAUCACAGAUAGGUGAGAAAAUUAUCAUGAUACAAUAAAACCACCAUCUUCUUUUUUUUCUUUUUUUCUUUUUUUUUGCACUCAACGACAACCACCCUUUUAUAUUCUAUCCACCACUUUUUAUAGCAUCUAACUUUAUUUUUUGAGUGCUAACUGCAAAUCUUUCUGGAGACUAGAGCCACUUGGAUCUCCUUCUAUGCUGAGUUUUUUUGAUCUACGGAAUUAAGACUUUUGAAUUGUCUUGUAACUAUAUUCUACCCAAAUGUUUCUUGAUUUUUCAUAUUUUACUCAUUAUAUUCUUUUAAGGAUAUGUUGUCCGCAUGUCAUCUUGAUCAUGAGAAUUCUAAUAAAUGAGAUAAAAACUCACUCUAGCAUUUCUACAUUUUUCAAACAUAAAAGAAAACUUACUUAUAGAAUGGAUUUUUGGCACGUAAAUUUGGCUCUUUAACUUAUGAAUGUGGGCCAUAGAUGAAAUGCAUAUGGGAAAGUCAAAGAGACUGCACCUAGUUUCAUGAGGUUAUAUUGUGUGAUGACAUAGAUUUAUUCUAAAUGCUACCAGUGGCAUGUCUGGGAAAAGAAUACAAAGGGUUCGAGCACACAUCUUGAAUUUAUGCAAAUUGCAUGGAGAAGCAGGCACGGGCAUCAGAUUGAUAUAUAACAAUUCCAUCAGACAAGCACACUAAAUUAGUCUAAGACUAAUGCAUAUUAUAAAAGAAGCUUAAAAGAUCUAUGGUGCAUCAUAAAACAUAGGAGCAUGCAAUAUUUAGAGGAUGACCAUUGCUUGCCUUUGACAGUCCACUGAAAUUAAUCGGCAACAACUUAGACGAGGCUUCUUGCUCUUGAUCAGGGGUCAAAACAACAAAUGCAUCUGCCUCGAGUGAAAUUGCAUGUUCACUCUUAUUGACAACCUGCAGCUCUGGACCCACCGUAUCUAGCAUGACCUGGAAAAGGAGUCGAAAUGCAUAGUCAAUUAAAAUCACAUCAUCCAUAGAAACAACAUGACACAGUAAAAAAUUGGCAUCAUCAACACCAGAUUUAGUUGAACCAUGAUUGAGACAACUGGCAGAAAAAUGAGUUUUAAGGAAGAGAGAAAAAAUGGGGCAGGUCGAAGAUGCUGAAUAUUGAUGCAGUCUUCAACAGUUCAAAGUAUACCAAUGUGUUGGCAUCAAAGUAUGUAAAACAUAAGAGCAUUCUAUAAAGUGCAUAGGUUACUUGCCUAGUAUCUUGAAACAGAUUGGUUUCUAACUGAACCCUCGAGAAAACAAAAAGAGACCUAACGGAACAAGAUUUGCAACCGGCAGAUGGAAGUUGGUUAUUAUCAGGUAUCAGAUAUUUCUAAUAAACUUACAGCACAUAGCUUUUUGGUGCUUUUGAUAGCCAUCUUCAGAUUCUCCAGAGUCUCCUGGUGAUAAUCGACGUCCCCCCAUGAAAAAUCAAAGCGAGCCACUGCCACAAGAGUUUACCAAAAACAAAAAGGAAAUUGUAAAAACAAGACACAUACCGAAAGCUCGUUCAACAACUAGCUAAUAGCAGCAUUGAGAAAAGAAAAGGUAAAAAACAAGGUCGAAUCUAGAUAGCGUCUAAAAUAUUAUAUCAGAGGAAUCUAAGAAGAAGAGGCGUCGUACCGGACAUCCCAACCCUGAGGCAGGCAGAGAUUACCUCCACGGUUCGGGACUUGGGACCGAGCGUCCCCACGAUCUUGGUCAUCGCAGGGAAGAAGCUCUGCAGAACCAGAUCAUUCAAUCAGUAACGCUUAGCGAAUCAAAUAGCAUCGGUGUAGGCAGAAGAUCAUCCUUCUUCGACCUUUCACUGCGNNNNNNNNNNNNNNNNNNNNNNNNNNNNNNNNNNNNNNNNNNNNNNNNNNNNNNNNNNNNNNNNNNNNNNNNNNNNNNNNNNNNNNNNNNNNNNNNNNNNNNNNNNNNNNNNNNNNNNNNNNNNNNNNNNNNNNNNNNNNNNNNNNNNNNNNNNNNNNNNNNNNNNNNNNNNNNNNNNNNNNNNNNNNNNNAAAAGCAGAACUCCACCAGUUCUUUAGAAGUGAAAUAUCCUCGAAAGGACAAGUUUUCCCUUUCUUUCAAUUUUUUAAAAGAGAAAAAAAAGACAAGGGCAUCAUGGUCGAGGGAGGGGACGGGGAGAACAUACGGGUUUGGAUGGCUCCAGGAUAGAAGCCAUCCUGAUGGGUUCUUCCAAGAGCAGGUGAGUCGAAUGCAUCUUGUUCUUCCUCUUUUCCGGUGCACACUGCGAUCAGGCGGAUGGAUGGUGGAUUGAAGGAGGACUUUGAGAGAGAGACGCUUACAAAACCCUUGUCCGACCACCGGAAAGGAGCAGAGGAGGAAAGGAAGGGGGCGGCUUUGCAGAGGCUCUUCACCCUUUUUCGCGUUCUUUGCCUUUUCCUGACCCUUUCUAUUUAUUUAUUGAUGGAGAUAUGGUGCCGUUUCCCGAUCGGGGUCGCUCACCUCGCAUCAGGCGGGCCCAGAUCAUCGUUGCUUAUGGGAUCAAAUGAACUCUGAUUUUUUCCAAAAAAGCUAUGGCAACCCGAAUACCGGACAAUGGUAUCGACGUAUCGUAUUACAAAUCACAUAAAGCAACGGACGAUAUCGUAUCUUGCGAUGAUCGAAAUUCUUUAGUAAGUAAAUAAACCGACGGCGAUGGGGGAAUUGGGCGCCGCGCACCGUACCGGUAGCGGCAUGCAUCAUCGCGACCGAGGUAAUUAGACUAGACCGGGGGUCCCGCGCCUUCACCACGCCCACAAGAAGAUCAAAGAUUUACCGCCCUGCUGUCGUAUGAUCCGUGGGCGCGCCCCGCGUGAUGUGCUGCCGUAAUUACUUACCAAUUCUGUGAUGUGUGUUCGAGUUGACUCUGACCCGGUGCAGCGCACGCGGCCGGCAAACGAAUCGAGCGGCGGCUCGUGCAGCCGUGCUUCUCCGUUAAAGUCCGCGCAACGAAAUAGGCGCCAACGGAAAUGAGGAGAAGAACAACGGAAGAAAAAGAAAAUGGAAACUGGCGAUUUUAGUUUCUAGAAGCGGACCGGACCCGAAAAAAUAUGGGAGGCAUAUAAUACCCUCUUCUUCUUCUUCUUCUUCUUCUUCUUCUCCUCGUUCUUUCUUUUUUUUCUUUUUGCUAAAACGGAUAGAUUAUACCACACAAGUACGGAUGCAUCCAAUAAAAUCAGAAAAUAAAAUACUUCAAAGUAUCAUGAGCAACUUCUUAUCUCCAGCCCACAGAGUACUAUUCGAGUAACUGGCUACAUAAGCAGCCACCCAGUCCGCGGCCUCAUUAGCUUCACAAUGGCUUCCCUUUUACUGCCUAAUACUAAAGGCCACAAAUAAGUCGAAUUGACCUAUAAUCCGACCCACUUAGAUUUGAUCUGAUUCGAUUUAAAAAAUCUAUAGAGCCGAGUCGGAUUCUACAAUUAAACUCAUUCCAUUUUUUGAAUCAGGUCUGAGUUUACUAAAUUCCGCCCCAUUUGAUUUUUGGGGCAAUUUUGGAUUUUCUACCUCGUGACCUGGCCUGAUCUGACCCGAGCCUGAUACACCGUUGGUCUCGAAAUGUUCGAAACUUACUGGGCCCAAUUUUGAUGUUAUAGCCCGCACUAUCUAAGCUAUAGUAUUUACGUAUCAUGGGCAUAUUCAGGUGCAACCACGUAUGCCUGCCAAAUUACUAUACUGGUUGUUGUUGAGGCAAUGGUGGCCCAAAAGAGAGGUUACACCCAUGUGGUGAUCAAAUAUGACUAUGAAGCUGAAGUCUUGGAAGGACGUCCUUGGAUACAUCUCUACUCCGCCCUCUCAAAUGCAACCCCCUACUCCUUUUCUUCACCUCACAACCUUUCCUUCUAUGUUUCUUUCUUACUCCACUGUCCUCCCGCCACCCAAAACCAGCCCAGUUAACCUUGAAAUAGGAUAAAAAAAGUUAAGUACAAGGAAUGACAAGUAUAGGGAUGUGGCUCGGAUUUGACCCGAAUCUGAGUGGACCCAAUUUUUUUGGAUUGGGAUCGAGUUAUACAUGGACCUGACCCAACCCGAAUGAUCCGUUAGAUCAGAAAUUUUAGCCGUAGACCCGAUCCAAACUAAUCUGAUCUUCUAUUGGGUUAGAUUUAAGUCUAACAUUAGGAUCUGAAUAAAAAAUCGGAUUAGGUCAGGGUCACUUAUAACCUGGGCCGACCCGACCCAUGAUGCUAAUUAAUCCGUUGCCAAUCUACUAUGGAGAGAUAUUGAUCUACACAUAAAAAGAGAAAAAAUGGCUUACUGAAUUGGUUUCGACUGGAUCAUCCAAUAUCUAAGUCAUAAAGUACUUUGGAAUAAUAAUAGAGGAUAGAAAAUACAAGAAAAUAUAAGAGUAGUAUAGAAUAUUUUAAUUUAUGUACUUGAUAUCUUGGACUACUAGAUAGCUCGAUCGAGAUAGGUUGGUUUGGGUAACUCGACCUUCUCACCUCGACCGUCUUGGAUCGGCCUGCUUACUUCAUUUGCAACUCAUAAACCUACAAGAGGUCAACUAAUUGACCUGCAAGAACAAGGAGUAAUACGAUGGAUUCUUGGCCUUAGCAGCUCAUAGACCUGCAAAAAGUUAACUCAUAAAUCUGCAAGAAAAAAGACCAAAAUGAUGGAUGAGCUAAUAAAUGGUCUAUGCGAGCUUCUAGCUAUGAGAGCUUAAAGCUAUUAGAUCUUCUCCCUUUGAGGUUCCUUAACCAUGUUUAUAUAGAGGAGGGAGCAUGAAUCUAUUACGAUUGGAGGUGAAAAUUAAAGAAUGAGCCAUAACCAUUAUACCUUAUGUGCCAUAACCAUUCUUCCUUAUAUGGAUUCUCUUAAUUGUGAAGCUGUAACCAUCGAGAAUUUGCAUCCAUUUGAAAUUGCUUGCCACCAGCCAAUUGAUUUUAGGCCAUAUCAAUAGCCACCUUUGUAUACAAACGAAAACAUACAAUUUUCCAAUCAAUCAAGGUUGUGCUAAGAGCACUUCAAGUUUGAUCAACAUUCCUUUAAGUAGGGGGCUGGUAAUUUUAUUGUCCAUGAAAAUCAUGCACAUGACCAUCUUGGCUUUUUUUUUGACGCAUAAACAAUAUUCUUUUUUGCUUAAAAUUAAUAAUUUUAUUACUUGAUGAACCCAUAAUUAGGAGUAGCAAUCGAGUCAGGUCAGAUACAGGUCGGGUUAGAAAAUCAUAAACCUAAACCCGACCUGUUUAUUAAACAGGUCAGAAAUUAUAACCUGAACCUGUCAUGUUAAAUAAACAGAUAACCUGACCUGACCCGUUUAACCUGUUUAAUAAACAGGUAACAUGUUUGCCCACCCCGACCCAACCUGUCCUCUCCUAUGCCUCCUCCUCCCUCCGCUGGCGCCACGAACGCCGCCGCAGCCGUUCCUCCUCCUCCUACUUUGACGAGGAUGAGGACGAUGCAAGUUCCUCCUCUUCUUCUCCUCCUCCCCCUCCUCGACCCCGCUGAUCUCCCCCAUCCUCCUCCACUGUCGCCUUCUUCUCUCUUCUGAACUCAGACUACAUCUAGUCCAUGGACCCCGCCGCCCGUGAUGCUCGGUGGUGCUCCCUUUACGACCUCUCCUUAGCCUCGACACCAGGAUCGAGUUAGGCUAACCCUGAUGACUCUUAUAUAUCCCCCCACCCCUCGCUUCUCCCAUGUCCCUCCUUCUCCUCCCUUUCUAUCGUUAUUCCUUGCUCUCCAAGUAACUAGAAGAAAAUUUUUUUUUUUUCACAAAACAGUUAAGAGAGAGAGAGAGAGAGAUAGGAGAAACAGCUUUGACCUAUGUGGGGGAAAUCUCUGACAACCUAGGCUUAGGGUUUUGUUGUGUCUUCGGAGACCGGAAGGCCGAUUGAUGAGAUCUCGCCGUCGAGAGAGGAGGGGAGGAUGAGCUGCAAGGGCUGCCGAAUUCUCCGGAAGGGAUGCAGCGAGGCCUGCAUUCUCCGGCUGUGUCUUCAGUGGAUCGAGAGUCCCGAGGCCUAGAGGCAUGCCACUAUCUUCAUCACCAAAUUCUUCGGCCACGCCGGCCUCGUGUCUUUCAUCUCUGCCAUCCCCUAGUUUUUCUCCAAAGUUUUCUACCUUCUCUUCGCAAACCGCCUCGACGAGCUCCGGACCCUUCCCCUCCCCCUCUCCCUUCCCAUCGACCACAUCCUCGCCCUUGCCCUCUCCCGCAGCCUCUCCUUUUCUGGCCUCAAAUCCUAGAUCUUUAAGGAGAAAAGAGGUCACUCACCGGGGGAAAUCCUAAUCCUAAUCACCGGAUAAACGGUUAACUGAUCCAACCCGACCCAUAUAUUAAACGGGUUAAACGGGUUGGACAUCUAAAAUAUGUGUCCUGCCCAAUUAAUAAACAGGUUAAACGGGUCAACCUGUUUACGAUCCGAACUUGUUUAGGCCAAACCCAAACCUAAUUAUGGCGGGUCGAACAUAGAUUGGAUUGAUGGGUCGGGUCAUAUUUUGCCACCCUUACCUAUAAUGUCUUCAAAAGACUAAUUCAAAAUAAAAGAGGGCAUCUCCCAGUCGUAUCCUCAAUCAAGCAAUUUAGUUGAAGUAUGAGCAUUUUUGCUUUUGUUACGCUUUGCCGGCCAAAUAUUAGGGCUAUUGCAUAUGAUUCUUUUGUGGAUCAAAUAACCCUAUUUUCUCAAACUAGCUAGAUAUCAAAAUAAGGAACAGUUGUGAAAUUUCAGCAUUCUAGUUGAUGGCAAAUUGCAAUAUACAAUUAUGGAGGCAUUGGGCAUGCUCUCUUUCAAAGUGGGUCUUGCUUCCUAUGAGGCCCAAUAGUUCCACAUCGGAAAGACUUGUUCUAGAGCCUGGGCAUAUGAGGAGGGUGUCUCCUAAUCUUGCAGACGUAUUUUGGGAGGAAAACAAAACUGGGGAGGGAUGAAGGACGCUUGCGUGAAACCCCGGAACCGGACAAUAUUUAGCAGGGAAGCCCCGCGGUCCCUUCUCAUGUGGCCCCCACGUGGGCACUGGGUGUCUUUGGUAUCAGAGCCGAGGACGGCUCUUGUCCGAUGGUGGGAAGGGUGUGAGGCCCAAUAGUCCAACAUCGGAAAGAUUCGUUCUAGAGCCUGGGCAUAUGAGGCGGGUGUCUCCUAAUCCUGCAGACGCGUUUUGGGAGGAAAACAAAACCGAGGAGGAGUGAAGGACGCUUGCAUGAAGCCCCGGAACCAGACAAUAUUUAGCAGGAAAGCUCUCGCGGUCCCUUCUCAUGUGGCCCCCACGUGGGCACUGGGUACCUCACGUGCCCCGAGGAGGCGGGGGCAUGACACUUCCUAAGACAGUGGCUAUAUGUAUGUAUGUAUAUACAUGCAUACAUACAUGUACACACACACAGAGAUAUAUAUAUAUACACACACACAAGUGCAUAUAUAUGUAUAUAUAUAUGUGUGUGUAUGUAUAUAUGUAUAUAUAUAGUAUAUAUUUAUAUACAUAUGCAUGUGUAUAUAUAUGUAUAUGUAUAAAUACAUGUAAAAAAAGUUGUAAAUGUCAUUUUUUAGAAAUUGCAAAAGGCAAAAUUGAUAUUUUGCUCCUAAAUUAGCCUCUCUAUCCUCCUGAAUAUCAAAAAUUGGAUUUACACUUUUCAGGUCGCAGGAGAUGGCUACAGCCUCUAGAUUUAUGAUUUUACUUAGUUUAGCUAUUUUGUCAUCAACAAAUCGUACAUAAUUUCUUUUGAUACUUAAAAAGAUGGCUAAACAAGGCCUCUAGUUAUAAACUAGAGGGUCCAUGCGGCUGCUGGUAAUGGCCCGCUCAAUGAUCAAAACACUCAUAAAGGCAAGCCGCUACCUUACAGCACCCAAAAAGAAACAUAAAACAGAAAAUACAACGUGUCAAUAUGGCAUUGCAGAAAAAAAAAACACCAACCAGUGAAUUCAUUUUUUUAAAGAUAGCAAUGAAAAUAAUAUAGAUCACAAAGUUGCUAUUGAAAAUGAAUUAUUUAAUUUUUUAGUGCCUGCAGGAUGGAGGAAGAGGAUAUAGAUCCAAUCAUUGUUCUACUACUUGAUACUAUGUUAUGUGAGUCUGAUAAUAAAAUGCUGCUAAGGGCGGUUUCAGAUGCUGAGAUUGAAGCCACGUUCCGAUCAAUGUCAGGCAAUAAAACUCCUAAUCUUGAUAGUGUUUCGAUCUAUAUCAGAUGAUAAAGCUUCUGGCUUUGAGUUUUUUUUUUCGAUCUAUAUCAGGUGAUAAAUUUGUCCUUCAUUUUCAAAUACUAUUGGCCAAUCAUCUAUAUAGAUAUGUGCCUUGUAGUUUUUUACUUCAUGUUUUAUGUUGAUAUCAUGGAAACACACAUUUAUUACUCUAAUUUCCAAGAGGUCAGAUGCAUCACUCUCAUUUCAUUAUCGAUCAAUCAGUUGAUGGACCACUCUACAUAAAAUUAUUGCAAAAUUGAUGGUCAAUAGAAUACACCAUGUGCUACAUCCUCUAAUAAAUCAUGAGCAAGAUGCAUUUGUUAAGAAUUGGUGUAUUUCUGAUAAUGUUCUUAUGCUUAUGAGAUUAUGUAUAAUUUACAGUGAGCUCUAGUUAGACAUAGUUAUAUAGUAAUUAAACUAGAUAUAAAACGAGUAUAUGAUAGAGUUCGGUGGAAUUUUUUAUUUUUUUCUCUUCAUCUGCUUGUUUUUGAUGAUGCCUAGAUUAAUUUGGAUUUAGGGCUAUAUUGUGUCCCCCUCUUUUUCUAUUUUAAUUAAUGGCACUCCUUUUAAGUCUUUCUCUUAGUGUGAGGUUGGGUUGUCCUUUAUCACCCUAUCUAUUUAUUAUUUGUGUAGAUGCACUCUCGAGGAUGUUGAAGGUUGCAGUAGAGAAUAACUCAUUAUCUGUGUAUUAGCCUAGUCGAAUAGAGGUAACUAUUUCUCAUCUUCUGUUUGCAUACGAUUGUAUAUUAUUUACUAGGGUUACUUUAUUUAAUGCAAGGGCUUUAUCUACUAUUCUGAAUAAGAUAGAGAAUAAAUCUUGAAAAAUCUAUGGCGAAAUUUAGACCAAAGAUUAAUACUCUAACCAGGCAACGUAUAAAAAAUCACUUACACAUUAAGGAGUCUGAUGGUAUAUGGCAAUAUUUAGGGAUUCCUAUAUUUGGUAAGUGGUCGUCCUCAAUCGAGUGCGGUGGUAUGAUUCUGUAAUUCUUGAAUCUAUUGGAGGAAGUAGAGAGUUUUAUCUAUGAUAGGUAGAAUUACUCUUAGUAAGUUCAUACGUUUUGUUCUUCCUAUCUAUUUAAUGUCUAACACUAUUAUUCCAAGAGAAGUACUUCUAAAGUUGGAGAGUAUUAUUACGAAUUUUCUUUGGGGCUUAGAUGAUCAUUCUAGAAGGGUGUAUUUGAUUUCUCGGAAUUAUGUGUGUCAAUCUACGUGGGAUAGAGGCUUAGGUAUUCCUUCCUUGAUUGCAAGAACUGAGGCUCUCAUGGCUAAACAUGCUGCAAAAUUUCUUAUGAUACAGAAUGGUUUUUGGAGUUGUUUUAUGAAGGCAAAGUAUAGUUCUUGGUCAUUGAUGUCUUAUUGGACUUGUCCAAAAAGUGCCUCCCCAACGAAGAUUUGUUCUUAUACUCCAAUUAUUUAUUAUAACAUUAAAUGAUGUAUAGAUGAUGGUGUAUGUAAUAAUGUACUCCAGGACCUAUAGUUGUCAUCUAUGACUUUAGCACAAUUGCCAAUUUUUGUUGACAUUUUGUCACUACAAGGCUUCAUGGUUAAAAAUCUUACAAUCUCAGAAGAAAGAAAAUAGAAUCAACCUCUUAUUGCACUAUUUUUCUCAAACGAGUUAGUGGAUAAAGUUCCAUCGAUUCCUACCAGGUGGUGAUAGUGGUGACAGAUUGGGUUGGGGUAGUUUGUGUGUCUAGGUAUCUAAUUUUUAUAAACUUUUUCCAUUGAAGCCCCAACUAGUUCAGAGUAUUACUUGGGUCUAGAGGGUAGGAGUCCAUUUAGAGUUGCUCUAUUUAUGUGGAAAUCAGCAUGGUUGCCACAUAACAAGCUACUGUGAUAUAUGCUCAAAUGUUGAGUAGUCCAUAUCUCAUGUUAUAUUUCAAUGCCUUGUAGCAUUAGAUAUGGAGGCAAGCUCCACUUUAGAAUUCAUCUAUUUUCUCAUCUUUUUAUGUGGAUGAUUUUUGUACAUACUAUUAGAGAGAUGUUUCAGUGAUAGUAGAAAGGAGAAAGCAAUUUUGAUUUGUCACAUUGCCUAUAAUAUCCAGUUGGCAAGGAAUGAUCGCAUCUUCUAAGGUAUGAGACAGAGUGCUAGAUUAAGGCUUAUGAAUUUCUUUAGAUGACUGUUGCAGAGAGACCUCAGACAAUAGGGGCAAUUUGUGGCUCUCUCUAUCUAAUUUUUGAAUCCUCGUAAUUAUCUUACUUCUCUUAGGAGUCACCACCCCCCUAUUUCCUUAGGAUCAAUUUUGAUGGAAAUGUAAUGGAAAAAGGUGCUUUUGGUGGAGCAGGCUUUAUUAUAUGAAGUGCUAAUAAUGCAUUGCUAGCUGGAAGCGAUGUAAGAAUUUUUGAUACCACAGUUCCAAUCAUGGAGUUACAUGCAGCCUAGAAAGGUUCGAACUAUGCUAUAUACAUAUUAAGGGCUUCACAAAUUUAUUUAUAAGGAUACUCUAUGGCAGUUAUUAGAUGGCUCUACUUCUUAUUGACAGAAGCUUUCAUCUACUCUUAUAGGAUUGUUGACAAAUGAUACACUCGCUGCUAUCAAUUGAGGUUUCACAUAUUUACAAAGAAGCUAACAAUGAGCUACUUGGAUGGUAUUUUAUGUGGCAAACUAUACGGGAUCUAUUUUAUGGGUUUCUUCAACAGAUCUUCCUAUUCAUUUUUUUUGAUAUUUUAAUUUCUGAUUCCCACAAAUGUAUUUAUACUCGAUUAAUUCAAAUCAACCAAUUUAUCAACAAAAAAAAUACAGGAGUCAACAAUUGUCCUCCUUCCUUGAGCUGCAUGUUGAUGCUUCUUAUUGAAGCUUCUCCUUCCUUCUAUCUCCUCGAUAAUAAAACAAAGUACGAGACACUAAUCUAUUAACUUUGGGACUAUGAGGACCAAUGGCGUUGCCUGCAACCAUCAAAAACUCGUGUUGGUUUUUACCAUCCAACAAAGCUUUGAAAGGCUAGUGAUGUAGCCAAAAUUCAAUCCACCAAUCAUACACCUAUUUUAGUUGGACUCGUAUUUCUAGAAUAAGCUGGAUAAGAAAAUCCGAGAGUUAGCUCUCCACUUGACUCUGGACUUUAGAGUCCAACCCAGGUGGGACAAGAAUUCCUCGUCUAUAAAAAAAGGCCUAAGGUACUGAGUAUGCACUAUAUACAUAAUACGACUAUACUCUCUACUUUCUUUCCAACUCUUCUUCUCCUUCUUCUUUGCUAUUUCUCAAAGUUCUACCUUUGACUAAAACAUUGGAGGGCCCUCACUUGGAUCAUAUUCGAUGACCUUCUAUCUUCUUCUCUUUUUUUUUGGUAAAGCAGAUUUAUCAUACAUGCCUAGUAUGACUACAUCCAAUAAAGUCGGAAAACAAAAUAUCGCUCAGUGCAGAAGGAAUGGCAAAGGUACCGAUCUAGAGAACGCCUCCAGAGUACUCUGCUACAAAUGCAGCCACCAAGUUUGUUGUGUUGUUCGCUUCAUGGCAGACAUAUCUGGCCACCCUAGAUGCACAUCCACCCAUGCUCUACCAGAUAUUAAGCAAGAGUGGGUGGGUAUAUUAGUGAAUCUUUAUCCACUGUGUGGAUCCAUCGACGUCUUUUAGAUCACCGGAUCAGGUUUUGGUGGCAACUGUUAGAAACUAGGAUGAAGACCUAUUAUAACACAAGAAGAAAACCAACAACAUAGUAUCCUAUAACACGAGAAAAACUAGAAGAAAAACACAACCCUAGCCAAAGGAGGACAGGAGGGAGCCCAAGACAAUAUACCCUGGAGCUUCUUUCUCUAAGGUGUUCUUAGAGAGAGAAAGAGACCUAAACCUUUAUACAAAUUAUGCAUAAUUGACCAGCAUAUUUGCUGUAGUUUCCAUUUGUCGUUGAUAUACAGGUCGAGAGAGAUUCAUCCCAUAUAUACAAAAAGAGCUCGUGUAGAAGAUGAAAAGCUCUCGUUUCAUCUUUGAUUAAUUAGUUGAUGCAUUACAAUUUGUAGCCUUUCCUCCUUUCACAGCCACCGAUUUUAUGUGCUUUGCGCGUCUAAUUCCAAAAUGACGCCAACAGGUGAGGAAUUUGUUUGGGCAUGGUACAUGACCCAUUGAGGAUAGGUCCGCAGCGCCGUGGGAUCGUCGUCGAUAAUCAUCGGCUGAAAAGUGGCCUGUGUUGGCUCGUGAUUCGUCGGGCCAGGCCAGGUUUGCUCGAGUUUGCUGGAUUAGGCCGAGCAUUAUAAUUUCGAGUCACAGGGCAAGUUCGGAUCAAGCCCAGCGCCCGCUAGGAUUGGGCCAAGAUUUGGAAAGAAGUUCGCGCCUAAAUCCGGUCUGAAGUCCAAAUGAUUUGUGGACGGGAUGGAACGUAGCCUCGAGGCGACCGAACCGCAGAUGGAUUUAGAGGAUGCGGACCCACCCUCAAAUUACUCUAUUUAUCUAGAAGGUGGCUUAAGAAUGCCUACGGAUCAGAAGUAUUUUGGCGAGGAGGGGGAUGGGGAUUUCUCCGUUAUAUUUGGAUUGUUCGGAGGUAGAGGAGACGAUCAGCCAUGUCCUCUUACAAUGCCCACAGACUGCUUAGAUUUGGCGAUAGGCUUCCUUCCCCUUCUGAGGUCCAUGAGUCCGCUGAGGAUCUACUCUGACUCCUGAAGUCGGCUUUUCGGUCUCCGAGUUCUGUUGCACGGGGCAUUGUUGGUGCCACCUGGUCUAUCACAUUUGGCUGGAUAGGAACGAUAGGAUCUUCGAGGGUAGGAGAGUCCCUCCAAGGGUUGUGGUGGAUAAAGCUAUCCGUCAGGCCAGUGAGGUAUCCAAGACUACUAUGAUUGCUUCAUCUGAGGUAGCUAGGGACAUCUGGAGUUUCCUUUCUGCUGCUUUAGCGCCUAAGUAUGUACUCACAUUCUGGGAGCCCCCACCUAUUGGCUACCUUAAGGUGAAUUUUGAUAGUAGUCUGUCCAUUGGUGGAGGAGACAUGGGUGCUGCCUUUGUGAUUAGGGAUCAUAAGUCCAGGCUGGUUGUGACUGGUGGGCGACGCACCUUCGAGUUAUCUGUUCUGAGGACGGAGCUUAGGGCAGCAUGAGAGGGUGUUUCCUAUGCGAGGCAAGUUCUAGAGGCCCAAUGCGUUAUCCUGGAGGGGGACUCAGUGGAUGUGGUAGAGUGGAUUCUAUAGGAGAGGCCGGAAGUCUUCGACCAUUCGCUUUUAGAGAAUGCCAGACGGUUAUUAUAGGAGUAUGCUGUGUUCCAGAUUGGUUAUGUGUUCCGGAAGGCGAACAGAGCUGCUAAUUGGGUUGCCUCCUUUGCUGCUUAUCACUUUGGAGAGAUUUUGUGGACUCAUUAUGUACUUGAUUCUCUACCUUUGUGGAAUAUUUUGGCUCGUGACUCUGUUGACAAUGCUCACGCAAGAUUAGUAUGAGCGGCCGAUUUAUCAAAAAAAAUAAAAUAAAAUAAAAUAAAAACAGCAGCAAGCAAGCAAGCGUACGUCCUUGGAGCCAAUUCCAUAUAAUUUUAAUUUUUUAUGCAAAUAUAAUACAUUUGUACUGCACGGAGAAAAUGCCUUAUUCUUACCUUAUUCGAUUUUAAUUUUCUCUGGAGAGAGGGAGAUAGAGAGUAUGGUCGGCGGUGCGUAUUGCGUUGCGGGGCCCCACCCCCUGGAAACGUGUGAGGUGCUACUUAACGGAGACGUCACCUCCCGUCACGGUUCUGUAGAUAAUAAGUCACGGGCGGUUCCUACCGUCACGCAUUUAAGCGGCCUCCCGUGGACGAUCCGGCUCCUCCCUACUAACGUCGUCUGCUUCCCGUCCCGUUGCGUCUCCCCUCCGCCUGGUUCGGAUCCGGAAACCCUAACCCUAACCCUAACGCCGCCACCGUCCCCAUGGCAUCUUGCGAUGACGACUUCGCCCUCCUCGGGGAUGAAGCGCAGUCCCAGCCGACGCCGCCGCCGCAGCACCAGCAGCAGCAGGCGGGCGCUUUCGUGGCGGCCCACCGCUACGUGACGAAGGGCCCGCUCCACAUCUCGUCCCGCCCCCUUGCCCCCCUCGCCACCAUCGCCAGCCCCAAGAAGGGGGUCGCCGGUGUGGGCGGCGCCGGCCACGAGGACCCCGAGGACUUCGGUGAGGCCUUCGGCCAGACCGACGCCUCCAAUCGCCCCGGGGGCGCCCCCGCCUUUCCGGAGGUCAGCCCCCCCCCGCACCACCACCACCACUGCUUCGCCGACGAUGCCAACCCCUUCGGCUCCCCGCAGCCCGACGACGACAACGAUGACGUCGACAACAACCCCGAGCACAAGUCCCGCGGGGCCGCCACGUCCUCCGUCCACCUCCACCCGCACCAACACCACGGCCCGCCUCCGGCCUCCCGGCUGGACCCCAAGCGCAAGGACCGGGACGAUCUCAGCGACGGCGAGUCGCCCUACUGCUACAACAGCGCGGCCAAGAAGGGCCGACACAUGUCCUCCUCGGGGGACUACCGCAAGGACCGGGAGGAGUGGAGCGACACGGCCAUCGGCAGCCUCCUGGACGCGUACACGGAGAGGUACGUGCAGCUGAACCGGGGGAACCUCCGGGGGAGGGACUGGGAGGACGUGGCCACCCUUGUCAGCGACCGCUGCGACAAGCAGAAGGCCGGCAAGAGCGUGGAGCAGUGCAAGAACAAGAUCGACAACCUAAAGAAGCGCUACAAGGUCGAGUGCCAGCGACUCAGCAGCGGUGGCCUCGCCGUCAGCCACUGGCCCUGGUUCAAGAAGAUGGAGCAGAUUGUCGGCUCCUCAUCCUCCUUGAAGGCUCUUGCCGAUGAAGACACGUCCGGAGCCAUAGGUGGCUCCGCUGUGGUCACGAGGCAGAUGAAAAGGUCCGUUCUCCCUCUUCCCCUUGUCUUCUCUACAAUUUGACUCCUUUCUUUGUUCGUGCAUUCUGGCUUGUUUUAUGCUAAUGCUUCCUUAGUAAAAAUCCUGCAUUUCUCCUUCCGUCUAAAGAGAGAUUAGAUUCUGAUGUUUGAUUGAGCUGCCAAAAGGUAGAUUCUCACGAGCAUUUCCAGUGUAUUGAGUCAAAAAAUCAUCGUUUAUGAUCUCCAGAUGAGGUUUGGUCAUCGGUCCGUAGCUGCAGUGGAAUUUUAUUGGAAUUUCUAGGGGCCCUAAGCAGGCAGAGUACUGUCCCUUUUCACGAACAAAAGCAACCAGUCUAUGCUAUAUAAUUAUUGCAAAUUUGUAGAAGUUCCCAGACUAUGAAUGAUUUGGAUGUUAUAAUCAUGACUUAAUUAUGAUGGUUCCUCUGACUGGAUUAUAAACCAUAAAAAGAAGUGUGGAUUUUGAAGUUCUGAACUGAAGAUAUGAAAAAAAGUAUGGUACAUGCACUUAGCAGAGGGAAAUGAUGUAUGCCAUGAUGAAGAGGGGAAUGAACAUGUCUUCAGAUGGGAGGACANNNNNNNNNNNNNNNNNNNNNNAAUUGAGUUUUAUGUUUGAAGGAGGCAGAUGGAAAAGUCUUUUCAUUCAACAAAAUAGCCAUGUGUGUGGAAAGCAGCUGUCGCUCAAUCAGGAUUUGGAAAUAAGGGCGGGGUGGGGUGGGGUUGAGGAGGGAUGGUUCACUCUAAAUGUGACACAACACAGGAGUACAGAGAUGCCUUGGCCUCUAAAAUGGAAUUAAUGCAGCGACAAUGUGAAAUUUAAGUCGUAAUAGUAACCUAGUCUCAAUUAAAUAAAUAGAGAUCAAAGGAUUUGAAUAUUCUAAGCUUUUGCUGACCUAUCUAACUCUUUUGAUCUAAAACAAUGUAUACUAGCUUUGCCAACCAAUCUAACAGUCGUAAAGGGCAGUUUAGAUAUUUUAAUUUUUGUUGGUUGCUGAUGCUUCUGUAGGCUGUUGCCAUUACUGUCAGUUGCUGUGAGUUGAUCUCAGAGUAGGUUUUUCCUGCAUUGAUAUUGUUGCUUGACAUGUGCUGACAAGGGAAGAAAGAAACUGGGAAUUUAGGAAGAAGCAUAGAGAAUGACGAAGAAAAGGAAGAAAUAGGUAAGGUAUGGAGAGGAGCAAUAACAUUUCCACAUUUGAUGGGAUACAACGCCUGGUAGGAGAGCUCAGUGAAUUGCUGCUGCUGUUGCCUUCAAAGAAAAUGAGAAAAAAAGAACUAAGAAGAAGGAAAAAAGAGGAAGAGGGAUUGCAAAUUUGAUGUGUUGGCAUGUAAAAUGCAUUCUGAGAAACAUAAAAGCAAAGAGAGGGGCUAGAUGAAAAAAUCUAGGAGACGAAACAAAUAGAAAUGUCAAUUAAGAAAAGUAAAAAGAAUAGUGGAGGUGACCUGGCAGCUUGAUUGAAAGAUAAAAGAAAGAAAAUCUGUUACAACAGAAUGAGGGCAAUAGAAAGGAAAAAAAAGGAGGGUUUCUUAUUAGAAAAGGAAAUGAGAGGGGGAUUGUGUGAUAGUGAAACAGGUUCUAGACUUACAAAUUAAAAUGAGAAGGUGGAAACAUGCAUUUUAUAGAACAUUAAAGGAAAUUGUUUCCAGUAAAUUCAUGAUUACUUGUUCAAUCCAUUGAAACAUACUAUUGUGAAAAUGAAAUGUCCUGAUCAGAUCUUUCAUAUUAUAUAGUUGGUUCUGUAUUACUCUAUACUAUAUUAAAAGGGCAUCCGAGGUCUCCUUGGGUGUGUUAAUUUUGUCCACACAUGAAAUAUUAUUUGAUUCACUAAAUAAACUUUAUUAUAUAACAAUUAUUAACAUGGGUUGUUUCAAAAAGUAAAAUAUGCAUCCAAUUAACCGAUUCUCUCUAUCUCAUCCAAGUCCCACAUCUUAGCUCCAAUUCCUUAUCCUAUCCUCACUAAUAUCUCUUUAUGUGGUAAACUUAUUUCCUCUAUCUCUAUUUCCCUAUAUAAUGACCUUUUCCCACUCAAUCUCCAUCAUUCGCAAAUAUUUAAUCCUCUCUCUCCAGUCAAUAUUUCAAAAGUUUAAUGCUUGUUUAUUUUUAUUAUUGUUAAUUUUAUCUUUUAUACCAAUAAUCAAUUCAAAGCUUUAUUUAAAAAUAAGAUAUGUUAUAUAAAUUUAUCUUAAAAGAUAUUGAACUAAACUUGUUUUACUACCACGUGCAAUGCUCGUGCUCCAUAUUCUACUCACAUCUUAAAGGUGUUGUGACAUAGACUUUUGGGAUGUGAUCACCACUUUCACUGUUAGAUACUUAUCAGAAUUCAUAUUGAAGAUGUGCUAUCUCUAGUUACGUACAUUGCUAUGAUGGGGAAUAAAGUUCGCUGUCUCGGUACCAGAUCCGUACCAAUACUUUAUCGAUAUGAUCCUGCUAGCAGAGGUUCCUAUGUGCUCGUUUAACCUACUUGAAAAAGAUGGGAAUUCCAACUCAUCUAAGUUGAUGAAAACUGCUACUAACU